AGGCACACAAGCUGACUGUAUGGCAGCAGUUUCUGGGACAGUGCAAGUCAUUUUUUAUACACAAAAUGGUAGAAUAGUAUAAAUUUUUGCCUACAUUUACACCAACUUCUAUCUGUAUUUUGUUCACAAAGAGACAUAUAUGAUAUAAAGAUGAUGUAAAUUUGUUUACAUUGUUUCUGUAUGACUAACUGUUGCUUUACAGGUUUACACCCUAUUACAAUCAAAGUGAGUCCUGAAACAGGGCAGCCCUUUUCCUCUGAGUCUGUCUCACUGAGCUGUGAGGGGGACUCUUCUGUGUGGAGGGUGAUGAGAUUGACAGAAAAAGGCCGUCUGUCAAACUGCAGCGACUGGGGGACAGAGAGAGGAUCUACAUGCAACAUCAAAAACCAGACUAAACCACUGCAGUGUACUGGUGUGAGUCUGGAGUCUUAGGUCAAUUCAGCAAUGCGGUCAACAUCACCUUUAAACGUUCGAGGCCUGAAGGGUUUUCCAUUUAUUUACCGUUGGUUAUUGGACUGACAGCUGGAAUUUUAACCAUUCUGCUUCUGCUGGUGUUGUGUUGCUACAUAAAAUCAAGAAAACUCAGUUCUAACAGGACUAGAACAUGUCAGAGAACCAAUCAGGGCUCAGCUCUUGAUCAGUUGGAUAACCAGGAUGAAACUCAACCCAGAGUGGGAUCUUCUCUCGAUGAUGCAGAUGAAUCCAACAAUGUCACAAACUCUGCAAAUCAGCCUGAAGACAGUAGAGGACAGUGUAACGACAGUGAGGAGAGCGUCGUUUACCAGAAUGUGAAGACGGGAUUUGCUGC